UGGCGGAGGAGGAAGGGGGCGCCGGCGGCUUUCGGUCACAUGGGUCAAAGGAGAGCAAGGGGACGGCAGCACCUUCUUCCCGUCUUCACCUAGGUAACCUUUCUGUAGUUUUUUGGUGAUGUAUGAUUUCUUCGUUCUAAAAGAUGCAUGGUAAUGUGCGAAAGCUUAAUCUGAAACUAAUUACACGAACGAGUGCUUUAAUUUGCUAGAUGUACGCGCUUCAGUUGUAGGAGAUGAAUGCCUUUUAUGUUCAUGUCAUUAUUUUUCUGUUGUCAAUUUAGAAUUUUCAGAGUUUACAUUUGACAAUAUCUUCUCCUGCCAUUGCCAUAUGCCGAUAUGGUUAUAACUCAUGUAUGAUUACAGAGUGCUAGCUACCUUUCAAACAUGGAAGCUUAGGAAAAAGCAUGUAAACCGAAGACAGGAAGCUUACCUGUUCGAUUCAGCAGAUUUGGUUUGCUCUAUUUGUUAAGAUCUUUCUCUGCUGCACGAGAACUUAGAGAUGUAACAUCAAUGUGGUGGGCAUAGAUCAGAAAGGCAAGUUCUUGUCAAAGGAAAUCUUCACCUACGUAAAGGUAACCUCAAUAGCCUCUCUUAAAUUUUGCAACAGGCAGCCGUUGCUGUAGCAUGGAGCUCUAGAGUAGUUAGUCUAGAUUCAACUCUAGAGUAGUUAGUCUAGAUUCAACUGAGUUACAAGUGCACAUUUGUCCAGUUAUUGCUACCUUUUUCUGGAAGAUUUUAGACUUACUAUCCUGUGUUAAUUUAAGGACUGGCUAAGUUUUGUUGUUCGUUCCCGUUCUCGGGUGCUGUCCGGUGGGUCAGUUGCGCUCUUCAGCGCCUUCGUCUUUGUUGUCUCCUACACCUUUGCCUACACCCUCACCCACUACCACGGCUCCUGCAGCAAGGUAACAGGUCUCUGCCUCGCCCGAUCUCCUUCGCCAGUUUAUAUGCAGAUGGACGGCUGCAUGAACAGAAAGACAAUGGUGUCCGGGCUUUGUUGCAUUGCGUUACAGGACGAGAACCUCUUUUAUUUCAUUUCCAGUUUCACUUUUUUCAGAACAUUUCCAGUUUCACUCUGCCUCUCUUUUUUACUUGGCUGGACUAAAGCAAAGUAGCAACAUUUACGUAAACAGAACCGGGUGUUUUCUGCUUUCUUGUUCCUCCAUUGUCUUCUGCUGGUGUGUUGCCUUCACUCGUAUCUCCAAAAGCAAUUUACUGCCCCUCCAAUUCCAUGGAAACUAAUGGUGGAUCUUAUCUACCACCAGUAAAAAUCAAACCCCAAUACUAACUGGUGACCAUAAUUUCCAUUUUCCCCUUCUAUAAGCCCCAUAUCAAUCUCAUUUCUGAACCCUGGUCAUGGGCUUGACCAACAAAAUAUAUGUUAUAUGCCUACAAAAUGUAUCAUCGGAAACUUCUUUCCCAUAUAAAUAUAAUGGUAUACUUUUUCCGUACAAUAUAUACUUUGUUGUUCAAAUCGAGGCUUUCUACCUAUCGUCAGUCCUGCACCAAGGACUAGGCUAGAAAAGUUACAUCCUUUUGAUGUUCUUAUCUUGGCAUGAUGCAAGGCAAAACCAAAAGGGAGAGGUUAUAUUAUUGGCCAUAUUUACUUUGGUUAUUAGUUGAGCACAUCUGGAGCAUCUUUCCGUUGUUGCCUGCCUUUCCAUUGUUAAGAUGCUGGAGGAGACUAACCGUGCUACCGAUGAUAACACGCUUCUUGCUUUGGGUUUGUUUACUUGCCACAUAUGGCAUCAUAAUUAGAUGCAUUAGUAUUUUAUUGCUGCCAAAUGUCGUUGGUACUAAUUCUGGAUUAUUUCAGUCCAGUUCGAGGCUGGCUGCAGCCACGACAUCAACGGCAUCCAUAACAAUCGCGGAUCCUUCGACAUCUGGAUUGACCGCUGCUCCGUCGUCGACUACGACGACGGGCUCAUCGACAUCAUGCGCCAGAGCAUCUACAUUUCUUGUCUCCAGAUGGCAAUCUGCUCGCUGAAUGUCGCAUCAUGCUAGGAACUGAUAAGAGGGCCACUAUAACCACCAACUGGUCUGAGUUUCGCUGCUGCGCCAACAUUCGCGAAGGAGACAUUUGUGCAUUUCAUUUCAGGAUCACUUUAAAGUGCCGCUUUGUUGUCACCAUGCACUGCCUCUGGAUGCACCAUCGAAGACGUUGCCGCCCCUGUGUCAAUAUAAUCUAAUAUAAUGUACCACUAAGCACUCCUAAUUAUGCUAUAUACUGUGAUAACCUAUGGUUUACUUUUGGGCCCUCUUAUCACAUGCUUUUCAAAACGCUAAAUCUAUGUUGUUGCUUAUGUUAAGUGCACUAUUGUCAGUCAGAUGUUUCAUGUUCAGAUCCAUAAUGGGCUUUCUUUGUAGAGUAUAUAUUUUCUA